rnacentral:misc_RNA from 1 species
ACAAACUUGGUCAUUUAGAGGAAGUAAAAGUCGUAACAAGGUUUCCGUAGGUGAACCUGCGGAAGGAUCAUUAUUGAAUAUGCUUGAUAGGUUGUUGCUGGCCUCUCGGGGUAUGUGCACACCUUUCUUGACUCUAUUUAUCCACCUGUGCACCUAUUGUAGUUCUCUGGUUUCUGUUUCUAAAGGUCAAGGAAAGCGACUUCACUCAGUCUAAGUAUAUAGACUGGAUUUGGGACUUGCCUUUGGGCUCUUCUCUCUGAGUCGUGGAACUUACCUUUUGAAAUUGGGGGACUAUGUACUUUAUCACAAACCAUGUAGUAUGUUGUCAGAAUGUAUUCAAUAGGACUUUGUGCCUAUAAAACUUUAUACAACUUUCAGCAACGGAUCUCUUGGCUCUCGCAUCGAUGAAGAACGCAGC